UACGUAGGGUGCGGAGCGUUAAUUCGGAAAUUACCUGGGCGUAAAGCGGUGCGGCAGGCGGCGCGUUAAGACAGGUGUGAAAGCCCCGAGCUUAACUUGGGAAUUGCGCUUGUGACUGGGCGUGCUGGAGUGUGGCAGAGGGAGGUGGAAUUCCACGUGUAGCAGUGAAAUGCGUAGAGAUGUGGAGGAACACCGAUGGCGAAGGCAGCCUCCUGGGCCAGCACUGACGCUCAUGCACGAAAGCGUGGGGAGCAAACAGG
rnacentral:rRNA from 1 species